UUAGAAGUCGAACUGAACCAGUGAUGGGAACUACAAAAGCAGUAUGUAAAAACACAAUCACCCUUUUUCUACACAAUUGCUUUUACCUUUAUAAUGUUUCAGUGACGUAACUCACUUAGAAUACCCACUGACCAUAGCACCCACUGUAAAUAAAUUGUAUUUUGAUGACAGUUCAGUUGAAUAUGGAUAUAAAUGUGGAAUAAUUUGCAGUUACUCUGUAGAAAUGGGUAAUUUGUACCCUCUACUGUUACCUAUUAAAUAUGGCAGCACUCUCCCUCUAUGGCACUGUUGUACAGUAAUGUAUGAUCCUUCUUAGAUGAUGGAGGUUUAACACUGAGAACAUGACAACAUGUUCUGCAUCUGUCUGUCUAUAGUUAGUAUUUUGUAUGUAUGUACAGGCUGUUUUGUGCUUUUUGUUUCUUGCAAUAAAAAAUUGUUUGGAGUGUAUAUUUUGCCAUUUCCACGUUGUUUCACUUAGUUUAUUAGGUUUUUUUCCCUGCUUAAUUGAUGGCUCUCAGAAAUGGAUUAGCAGCAUGCAGAACUUAACAUUAUUUGAUCCUUUCUCCAAGUGCAAACACAUAGUACUAGAGAGUUUUUGAGAGACUUCUGAUGCAGCCUUAGAAUCAGUUUUGCUUUUAUUUGGUGCCUUUGUACAGAACAGACUGAAAUUGCAUCUCCACCGCCCAGAGUGCAUAAACAUGUCAGUGAUUCUGACGGCUUAUACAGUUGAUACACAAGCUAGAAAGUUUCUCUUCCUCAGAAGACACCACUCACUGCUUCCCUAGUUACAGAUCAACAAAAGCUGUAUUGUACCAAAAGCAGCCCCCAAUAAGUAACUGGGGUAACGUCUUUUUAUGAUUACAGAUUAAUCCAAAGUAUGAAACUAUUUUGACUUACAGCUUUUAAGUAAAAGCACCACUUCUAAAUUGUGGGACAGGUGCAGAACACAGGGCUGUCCUAACGGGUCUGUAAAUUUAAUGGUUCUCUAUAAACAUUUUGCUGGUCAGGCUUAAUACUUGUACACAAAAACACAGUAUUUGAAAUCUUCAUUUAGAAGUCAGGGGUAUUGCUUGCUACUUCAUUUUACUCUUUUAAAAUACUACUGACAUUUGUGUAUGAGGCAUUUCACUAACCUUGCAUCAUUGGAUCUUGAACAUGAUAAGUAGAAUAUCUCAACUUUGAACUUGUUCUCUCAAGUAUAUGAGCUUUAGUUCCUGUCUAACUAAAUGCAGUUAUUCAGAGUUUAAAAAGUCAGUGUUUUUGGAGUUUUCCCCACUUUUGGAUAAAUGAGUUUUUUGGGGAGGGGGAGUUGUUUUUUACUCUUUGGGUUUUUUGUUUUUUAAAGCAUAAUGCUGUAAAAACUGUCCAAGUCUCUGUUUUGCUGGUGAUUGGUUUAAAACUGAUUUUUAUGUAUCCAAAUGCUAGCACAAAUUAGAAAAACUGUCCUGGUGACUGUAGUAGCUAAUGUAACACAUUUGUAUAAACUUUUUUAUAUAGUAUUUAAAUUAAUUCAGAUGAAGUUUUAUUUCUUGAAAAUAAUUAUUUCCUUUUUGUUUAUUAGCAUGUGUAUAAACACAAGUCACAUGUUCAUAAAUAAAGUUAACAUUCUUUU
rnacentral:lncRNA from 1 species